rnacentral:rRNA from 1 species
UACGUAGGGUGCAAGCGUUGUUCGGAAUUACUGGGCGUAAAGGGCUCGUAGGCGGCCAACUAAGUCGGAUGUGAAAUCCCCAGGCUUAACCUGGGAAUUGCAUCCGAUACUGGAUGGCUUGAAUCCGGGAGAGGGAUGCGGAAUUCCAGGUGUAGCGGUGAAAUGCGUAGAUAUCUGGAGGAACACCGGUGGCGAAGGCGGCGAUCUGGGAACAUACUGACGCUGAGGUGCGAAAGCGUGGGGAGCAAACAGG